CGGCCCAGGACCAUGACAGGCACAGCCCCGGCUGAUGCUGAUUAGAACUGGUUUAUAACCUCAGUUUUCAGAGUGUGUGCUGAGCAUGCUUUUCAAACAUUUACCAACAAAAUUAACACAAGUUUUAGGAGCUAUGAAACUGAAGCACUGUUUUUCCUGGUGUUUCUAAAAGAAAUGUCCCCAGAAAUGGAGCAGAUGAUAUUAUCGAAUUUGAGUUUGCUAAAGUGAGUCCUAAAACUACAAAACUGCUUUGCAGCAUAUAUGAAUCACAUACUUUGGUCUGUAACUUCUGCAGUUGAGGCCAUCAUCUGUUACAUUAUCCUUCCUGUUUGAGUGUAUUUGGCAAAGAAAAGGAGCACUGCAAGGAAGAAAGUGAUCCAUUUUGGGUUUCCACUGCUCUGGCUGCUACUUCAGUUGUAUCAUUCCCCUUCUGUCAGGCCAAACUGCUGUAGUUAAGCAGCAAACACCACUGUGGAUAAUAAAUGGGAGAUGCUUACAUUUUAGAGCAAGUGCAGAACUAUAAAUUGAGGAGGACACACUUGCCUGUAUGAAAGCCCAUUAGAAAGGUUGAAGAUUUGUGCAAGAGAAGAAUUACUGAAAUAAUAACUAAAUCUUUCCUUUGAGGAAGAGUGUGAGUCCUUAAAAAAAUAACAGAAAACAAGAAGAGGAAUGUUUAUUGGAGUCAGACAGUCUUACAUAGCUUCUAUUGAGCUUAAACAAAAUAGUGUAUUGAUCUAAAACAUGUAACAUAAUCAAUAGGGAAAAGAAUUCUAAAUCUCAGAAUAUACUGAAUAAAAAUGCAAGCACCAGCAGUGGUUGGCUGUCUGAAAAGAGGGACUACUGGACGUGCAGUGCAGUUCCUGAGGCAUCAUAAGACCCAAAGCUGAACUAAAUCUCUUGGAAUCCGUGGGGUGAUUUAGGCUUUAUUCCAGCCAAGGACCGGUCAGCAGGAUCUAUUUUGGGGAUGAGGAAUGCCCCAAAGUGCUGAAUGCAGGGCUCGGGGCCACUGGGGCAUAUCGUUAUCCAUUCCACGCUGCAGAAGGGACUGACUGUGUAAUUGCCUUCCUAGGCUGGGGAACCACCAGGCCUUGCAGAAACCUGGCUGUCCCAGCCCUCUCCUGCUUUUAGCAAGCUCAUUUAUUUGUAGCGUUUUGCUAACGUUGCCGUUUAAACUGCCUAAGAACCAAACCCGCUGUGACUUGCCCCUCCCCAAUGGGAUAUCUCCUUUCCUAGUGUGCUAACUCUGGAAAUGCAGUAGAAGAAUGCAAUACCCUUGAAAUUGCACUUCUCUGCCAGGAAAAUCAGAUUUCACUCCUGAAUCUAAGAGUAUCUCUUAUUAAUAGCUAACACGUAUGUAGCAACUGUGUUUGCAUUGCACUUUACCAAAAGGAACAAGGCCUUCUCUUUGCCCUGAUUAAUAUGCAGGCUGGAUAAACCAAAUGUGGCAUAGCAAACCUAUCUAUUUUAAAGUAUAUUUAGCUUCCAUUACCACAAAUAGCUGUCAGUUUUAUAUUCUUGGAGUUUGUUUUCUUAAAAACAAGCCUGUGAGACAGGGUAAUGCUGUUAUUCCUAGAGGCAACUAAAGCACAAGAAGAUGAUUAGCUGGAGUUCACACAAAAACAUAUAUGGCAGAUGAGGGAUCUAAACUGACGUAUUCUGGCAACAGGUUCUGUUCUGACACGUUCUGUUGUCCUGGCUGAUGUAUUUCCCUUGAAAUCAGGCAAAAGAAGGCAAUGAGGAAAGAAACAGCUUUUACUUUAAAUGGCCUGUCUUGUUGGACAUCCUGCAAGCAGACCCUGGGGGUUCUUUGCUCGCUUUUAGACCCUCAGGAAACACCUGCAUUCAGGAGAAACCCCUCUAAAGCCACAGCUCUCAGCUGGAUAUAUCUGAUGGUCAGGCUUCUCAGUCAUGGAGUGAGUCUAUGUAGAAAGAUAAUGUUAUCACUAAUCACAGAAAGUAAAGGAAGCAUGGCUUGAGGCAUAUUUUAGAAUGUUUUAGAUGCUUGUUGGCAUUUAUUAUUCAAGCUCAGCGAAUUCUUUCCUCCACAUCUUGGUAAAUGGAUUUUCAGGUUCAUUUUCCUGAAUACUGACAUAUUCUACACAACCACAUAAUGGUUCAAAGUUACAGAACUUACUACCCCUAAAAAUAGUUCCUGCUGGGAGUUGCUUUUACUGACUUUCCAGAAGCAAGCAAAAAUUUAAAAAUCCAAUAAAACUUGCCUUUCAUUUUGAA